AACGGAGAGUUUGAUUCUGGCUCAGAACGAACGCUGGCGGCGUGGAUAAGACAUGCAAGUUGAACGGUUGAUUCAGGGUAGCAAUAUUCUGGGUUAGCAGUGGCGUAAGGGUGCUUAACACGUGGGUAAUCUGCCGCGAAGUGUGGGAUAACUCGCUGAAAGGCGAGCUAAUACCGCAUGUGAUCUUCUUGAGGCAUCUCAAGGAAUUCAAACAUGGGUCGCAAGACCUGUGGUUUCGCGAUGAGCCCGCGGCCUAUCAGCUAGUUGGCGGGGUAAAAGCCCACCAAGGCUAAGACGGGUAGCUGGUCUGAGAGGACGACCAGCCACACUGGAACUGAGACACGGUCCAGACACCUACGGGUGGCAGCAGUCGAGAAUUUUUCACAAUGGGGGAAACCCUGAUGGAGCGACGCCGCGUGGGGGAUGAAGGGCUUCGGUUCGUAAACCCCUGUCAUUGGCGAACAAGUGUUGCGCUCUAAUACAGUGUAACUUGAUAGUAGCCGAAGAGGAAGGGACGGCUAACUCUGUGCCAGCAGCCGCGGUAAUACAGAGGUCCCGAGCGUUGUUCGGAUUCACUGGGCGUAAAGGGUGCGUAGGUGGUUGGUUAAGUUUGAGGUGAAAGCUCCGAGCUCAACUCGGAAAAUGCCUUGAAGACUAUCUGACUAGAGGAUUGGAGGGGAGAUUGGAAUUCUCGGUGUAGCAGUGAAAUGCGUAGAUAUCGAGAGGAACACCAGUGGCGAAGGCGAAUCUCUGGACAAUUCCUGACACUGAGGCACGAAAGCCAAGGGAGCAAACGGGAUUAGAUACCCCGGUAGUCUUGGCUGUAAACGGUGCGCACUUGCUGUGAGCGGAUUCGACCCCGCUCGUGGCGUAGUUAACACGAUAAGUGCGCCGCCUGGGAAGUACGGUCGCAAGAUUAAAACUCAAAGAAAUUGACGGGGGCCUGCACAAGCGGUGGAGUAUGUGGCUUAAUUCGAUGCAACGCGAAGAACCUUACCUAGCCUUGACAUGCAAAUAGUAGGAGCCUGAAAGGGUGACGAGGUAGCAAUACCAGUUUGCACAGGUGCUGCAUGGCUGUCGUCAGCUCGUGUCGUGAGAUGUUGGGUUAAGUCCCGCAACGAGCGCAACCCCUACGUCCUGUUGCCACCCAUUCGAAAGGAUGGAGCACUCUGGACGGACUGCCUCGCUUCAACGGGGAGGAAGGUGGGGAUGACGUCAAGUCAGUAUGGCCCUUACGGCUAGGGCUGCACACGUACUACAAUGCCCGAUACAAAGGGGCGCAAACCGGCAACGGGGAGCAAAUCCUAAAAAUCGGGCCCAGUUCAGAUUGCUGUCUGCAACUCGACAGCAUGAAGCCGGAAUCGCUAGUAAUGGCGCAUCAGCUACGGCGCCGUGAAUACGUUCCCAGGCCUUGUACACACCGCCCGUCACAUCAUGAAAGCCGUCUGUACCCAAAAUCGCUGAGCCAACCGCAAGGAAGCAUGCGCCUAAGGUAUGGAUGGUGAUUGGGAUGAAGUCGUAACAAGGUAGCCGUAGGGGAACCUGCGGCUGGAUCACCUCCUUU
rnacentral:rRNA from 1 species